rnacentral:rRNA from 1 species
GGAGGUGCGGGGCGCCCGCCGGAGGUACGAAACUCUGUAUUAUAGUGGCAUCUCUGAGUAAAAAGCAAAUAAGUUAAAACUUUCAACAACGGAUCUCUUGGUUCUGGCAUCGAUGAAGAACGCAGCGAAAUGCGAUAAGUAAUGUGAAUUGCAGAAUUCAGUGAAUCAUCGAAUCUUUGAACGCACAUUGCGCCCGGUAGUACUCUACCGGGCAUGCCUGUUCGAGCGUCAUUUCAACCCUCAAGCCCUGCUUGGUGUUGGGGCCCUACGGCUGCCGUAGGCCCUGAAAGGAAGUGGCGGGCUCGCUACAACUCCGAGCGUAGUAAUUCAUUAUCUCGCUAGGGAGGUGCGGCGUGCUCCUGCCGUUAAAGACCCCAUCUUUAACCAAUGUUGACCUCGGAUCAGGUAGGAAUACCCGCUGAACUUAAGCAUAUCAAUAAGCGGAGGAAAAGAAACCAACAGGGAUUGCCCUAGUAACGGCGAGUGAAGCGGCAACAGCUCAAAUUUGAAAUCUGGCUUCGGCCCGAGUUGUAAUUUGUAGAGGAUGCUUUUGGUGAGGUGCCUUCUGAGUUCCCUGGAACGGGACGCCAGAGAGGGUGAGAGCCCCGUAUAGUCGGCCACCGAUCCUCUGUAAAGCUCCUUCGACGAGUCGAGUAGUUUGGGAAUGCUGCUCAAAAUGGGAGGUAUAUCUCUUCUAAAGCUAAAUAUAGGCCAGAGACCGAUAGCGCACAAGUAGAGUGAUCGAAAGAUGAAAAGCACUUUGAAAAGAGGGUUAAAUAGCACGUGAAAUUGUUGAAAGGGAAGCGCUUGUGACCAGACUUGUGCCGGGCUGAUCAUCCAGUGUUCUCACUGGUGCACUCGACCCGGCUCAGGCCAGCGUCGGUUUUCGCGGGGGGAUAAAAGC